CAGCCGCGUAAUUCCAGCUCCAAUAGCGUAUAUUAAAGUUGUUGCAGUUAAAAAGCUCGUAGUUGAAUUUCGGGAUCAAUAUGUUGGUCGUGCCUUGGUACGUACUGGCGUCAUUGGUUUCUACCUUCUGAAGAACCUCGAUGUCAUUAAUUUGGUGUCUUGGGGAAUCAGGACUGUUACUUUGAAAAAAUUAGAGUGUUUAAAGCAAGCUCACGCUUGAAUACAUUAGCAUGGAAUAAUGAAAUAGGACGUUUGAUUCUAUUUUGUUGGUUUCUAGGAUCGACGUAAUGAUUAAUAGGGAUAGUUGGGGGCAUUAGUAUUCAAUUGUCAGAGGUGAAAUUCUUGGAUUUAUUGAAGACUAACUACUGCGAAAGCAUUUGCCAAGGAUGUUUUCAUUAAUCAAGAACGAAAGUUAGGGGAUCGAAGACGAUCAGAUACCGUCGUAGUCUUAACCAUAAACUAUGCCGACUAGGGAUCGGAUGAUGUUAAUUUUUUAAUGACUCAUUCGGCGCCUUACG
rnacentral:misc_RNA from 1 species